UGUUCUUACAAAGCCACUCAGCCAUCAAUGAUUUCUUCAUCUGAGGUCCAAGAUUGGCAUCUCCAAUGGAGCCUCCAUCUUGUGGGGGCAUAUUAAAGAUAAUCCUAUCAUAACUUACCCACAUCAUCACAGCGCUACUAUUAGAGAAUCAGUUAGAUAGUUUUGAAUUUAAAUUUUGUUGGGUACAAAAUACCCACGGCCGA
rnacentral:lncRNA from 1 species